GACGAACGCUGGCGGCGUGCUUAACACAUGCAAGUCGAACGGUGACGCGAGUGCUUGCACUCGUGGAUCAGUGGCGAACGGGUGAGUAACACGUGAGUAACCUGCCCAUCACUCUGGGAUAAGCACUGGAAACGGUGUCUAAUACUGGAUACGACCAACCCUUGCAUGGGGUGUUGGUGGAAAGAUUUUUUGGUGAUGGAUGGAAUGGCGGCCUAUCAGCUUGUUGGCGGGGUAAUGGCCCACCAAGGCGACGACGGGUAGCCGGCCUGAGAGGGUGACCGGCCAAGCUGGGACUGAGACACGGCCCAGACUCCUACGGGAGGCAGCAGUGCGGAAUAUUGCACAAUGGGCGAAAGCCUGAUGCAGCGAAGCCGCGUGAGGGAUGACGGCCUUCGGGUUGUAAACCUCUUUCAGCAGGGAAGAAGCGAAAGUGACGGUACCUGCAGAAGAAGCACCGGCUAACUACGUG
rnacentral:rRNA from 1 species